GAUGAAGAACGCAGCGAAAUGCGAUAAGUAAUGUGAAUUGCAGAAUUCAGUGAAUCAUCGAAUCUUUGAACGCACAUUGCGCCCCCUGGUAUUCCGGGGGGCAUGCCUGUUCGAGCGUCAUUUCACCACUCAAGCCUCGCUUGGUAUUGGGCAACGCGGUCCGCCGCGUGCCUCAAAUCGACCGGCUGGGUCUUCUGUCCCCUAAGCGUUGUGGAAACUAUUCGCUAAAGGGUGCUCGGGAGGCUACGCCGUAAAACAAACCCAUUUCUAAGGUUGACCUCGGAUCAGGUAGGGAUACCCGCUGAACUUAAGCAUAUCAAUAACGGAGGA
rnacentral:misc_RNA from 1 species